rnacentral:rRNA from 1 species
AAGUGUGGACGCCAGUCUGCAUGGAGCCGACCUUGAAAUACCACCCUUUAAUGUUUGAUGUUCUAACGUGGACCCGUUACCCGGGUUGCGGACAGUGUCUGGUGGGUAGUUUGACUGGGGCGGUCUCCUCCUAAAGAGUAACGGAGGAGCACGAAGGUUGGCUAAUCCUGGUCGGACAUCAGGAGGUUAGUGCAAUGGCAUAAGCCAGCUUGACUGCGAGCGUGACGGCGCGAGCAGGUGCGAAAGCAGGUCAUAGUGAUCCGGUGGUUCUGAAUGGAAGGGCCAUCGCUCAACGGAUAAAAGGUACUCCGGGGAUAACAGGCUGAUACCGCCCAAGAGUUCAUAUCGACGGCGGUGUUUGGCACCUCGAUGUCGGCUCAUCACAUCCUGGGGCUGAAGUAGGUCCCAAGGGUAUGGCUGUUCGCCAUUUAAAGUGGUACGCGAGCUGGGUUUAGAACGUCGUGAGACAGUUCGGUCCCUAUCUGCCGUGGGCGCUGGAGAACUGAGGGGGGCUGCUCCUAGUACGAGAGGACCGGAGUGGACGCAUCACUGGUGUUCGGGUUGUCAUGCCAAUGGCACUGCCCGGUAGCUAAAUGCGGAAGAGAUAAGUGCUGAAAGCAUCUAAGCACGAAACUUGCCCCGA